GCAGAGACCCCAACUGACAUCUGGGCCCUGUUCUGCCAGGCGCUGCAGAGACCCCAGGUGCUGUGGAGCCCCCAACUGAGAUCUGCGCCCCUGUUGUGCUGGACACUGCAGAGACCCCACAGACAUCAGGUCGCCCAUUGUGCCAGGUUACAGAAUAACAUCC